rnacentral:lncRNA from 1 species
CUCUGCGAGCGAGCGCCCGCCUGCGCGCCCCGGGGGAGGGAGCGAGGGCUGCGAGCUGCGCGCCCGGCCGGGGAGGGCAGCGUCCUCCCCCGCGCCGGCGCCCGGGCCCCGGCUGCUGUCCCGGGAAGGCGGCCCCGCGAGCCGCCGCGGCCCGCUGGGGCUCGGGACUAGACGAGCCUCCGGCUCCGACAGCGUGCCCGUUCAGAAGCCCGCGCGGCUGGUCCCCAGCCCCGACCGGUCCCGCUCUGCCCCUCCCCGUCCCUGCCGGGCCCGGACCUGCGCCGCCCGCGAGGGCUGGAAGGCACUGGAAGCGCCGCCGGGGCUGCCCAGAGGCCGGGUCCCCGCUCCACUUUGCGCAAACUUGUUUUUCUAAGGUCAGCGCUGCGAGCUGGCUACAUCGUCCUCUUAAGGUGGACCGGGGAAGUUGCGGCCGACCUCCCCUCGCCUCCGGACUCCGGCCGCGCGGCUGCUCCCCGCUUCCCACUGGCGAGAGGCUGGAGGCGGCGAAGGAGUCGGGGCGCGGGGGCGCGGGGGGCGGGGGGGCGUCUGCCUUUUAACCCUCCCCAGGAGGUCGUGCCUCUGAGCCCCAAAGCUGAAGGCCCCUCUUGGGGGUGGGUGCGGGCCGGAGGGGCCCGAUCCUUUCAGAGCCGGGCCGAGGUGAAGGAAAAGAAGGAAGUAAGUGAACGCAGGGGGAAGGGGAGAGGAAGAAGAGAUGAUGGUACAAAAAUAGCGUGUGUGUAGGAAGGACUUCGGUGCCGCCUGGAAAAGAGGCGCGGGGAGGAGAGGGAGCGAGAAGGGGGCUGUGGCGCGCAACCAGAGGGGAAGGGUCGGGGCCUUCCCAGGGAGGUGGAGGCCCCCUGGCCAGGUGUCUCGGUGGUGGAGGGCGGACUGGGCGGGUGGGAGGCCCAGGCCGGGGCGUGUGUGGGAGAGCGGGGCCCUGAAGGCCUGGGUUCCGGGAGAAGGACAAGCCCUGAGGAAGAUGAGGGGAAGGGGAGCCGGGGCCAGAGGCCUGGAGUUGGAGAGGACAGAACCCCGGUUUUCCCGGAGGGAACGCCGUUCCUGUAGUAGCCAGGUCAGUGAUGGGGAGUGCCAGUGUCGUGGUCACCUGGCAGAAGGCUCCGCACUGUGGGAGGAACACAAGUUCAAGACCCCGCUGCUAAUGGGAGAGAAUUUUGGUUCACACAGUGGCGGUUAAGAGGACAGGAAUGACACAAGGUGAGAGAAGGCCCAACCCUGUAAAUGGACAGAAAGUUGAGGCCCGGAGAGGGAAUAGGUUUGCUUAAGGCCACACAGCAAAGCUUGGGGUAGAAACAAGAUUUGAAUUCCUGAUUCCCAGGUUAAAGACCUGUGCAAAGUAACACCACUGCCUCCCCUCCUGCCCCGAGCCUCCUGGUGAAGGCAUGGCCCUGCUGUUGUGCAGGGGGGCAGGGAAGGUGCCACACUUGAGAACAUGGGCUGAACUCCGUGGGUUCAAAUCCCCCGGCUACUGUUAUGAGCUGGGUGGACUGGAAAGUGCCUUACCUCUUCUGUGCCUCAGCUUCUUCAUCUGAGACGAGGCCAGCGUGAGUCUCAAUUGUGAGGAUUUGAUGAGUUAAUAUUUGUAAGACAUGUUAAAAAGAGCCUAGCACAUACCAAGUGCAACAUAAGCAUUUGAUAAAUAAGUGAAGUGUUUGACAACAGUCCUUGAGAACCCACAGGGUUCUGGGCAGCAUUUGAAGUGCAAGGGAAUUUUCAUUUCUCUGGGUGUGGGAGAGCACGAGGUCCCUGUCCAUGAGGAAUUUAUAUUCUACUAGGGGAGACAGGUAAGUGGACAAGUAGAAAUAAUUAAUGAAGAACGGAAGAUUGAACUUAGAGAAGGAGAGGGGUGAGCGUAUUUAGAUAAGGGGGCCAGUAAGACCUCCCUGAGACAUGGGUUGCUGAAUCACAAGUAGGGUCAGCAAGGCGAAGAUUUGGGGAGAAAGGUGUUCCAGGAAGAGGGCCCAGCACAAGGAGGGGAAGGCCCCAGGUGGCUAGGCCGGAGGAGAGAAAGCGCAGUAUGCAGGACUGGGGAGGGUGGGAUGGUCUCCAAGACCUGGGUAAAGAGCCUGCGUUUAUUCUGCAGUUGGGAGACCCCUAGAGGGUUUUCAGCACGGGAGGGCCAUGUCUGAUUUAUGUGUCUAAAAGGCCAGUCUGCAAGCGGAGGGUGGACUGGAGAGAGAGGAGCGUGGAAUUGGGCACCAAUGAGAAAGAUUGUUCUGGGGUUAUCCUGGUAUCUGAGGUGGGUGCAGGGAAGGUCUCCAACUCUUCAGGCCACAUCGGGUCUAGACCAUGAAGGUAACCAGGGAGGCUCCUGGGAAAAUCUGUCACCAGACUCCAUCUGGGGUGGGAGUGGAGAUGGGGGCUGCUGAUGAAGUCAGAGAAGAGGCAGCCUCCUGCCCUGGACUUCCAGAAGGCUCUGCUGUUCACUGUUCCUCAAGACACAUACACACUCACAAACCUGCUGGGGGAUUAGGAAACUGGAGAUUAGGGAAGGAUAAUAAUUGAACCACCUGCUAUUUAUAUAUAGCACCUUUGGCAAAGGCGCUCAGCAGGGCUUCCCUCACCUCUCCCCCUGGAGGGGGCCCUGACCCUUGUUCUCUGUCCACAUAAAAAUCAUCCUUGGCCAACCUCAAGGCUGAGAAGCCAUUGAGACCCACGGGCCAUGGGUAGACUGAUGUGAGGGGCAACUUGUCUGAGGCCACACAGAGAGAUUAUGGCAGAUAAUUGACAUGAAUCAGCCACCCGCACAGCAGGAGGUCUGUGCUGCCCUGCGUUAAAAUCUAACUGCCUUCACACAUGUUCACUCACGCACUCAACAGUAUUAAGCAUCUGCUAGGUGCCAGGCACUGGGAAUGCAACAGCUGGAAAACAGAUAAAAAUCUCUGCCCUCAAGAAGCUGACAUUCUAGUGGGAGGAAACGAACCGAUAAGAUAAGUAAAUUAUUUAGUUUGUCAAAUGGGACAGGUGCUACGGGGUGGGGGGAAUUAGCCAGGGAAGAGGCCCAGGAGUGCUGAUGAGAGGGAUAGAUUGCAAUUUUGAAAACGGAUCAAGGAAGGUCUCACCGAGGAGGUGAGAUGGGAAGCCAGGGGUGGUUGCAUCCCUGCUUUUGCUGCUUGACUCUUCCUCUUACUCCUAGAGGGCACAAUCUGUCAGCAAAUCCUGCCUGCUGGGCCUUCUCAUCACAACCAGGGCCAAACCACUUCUCAGCGCCUCCGCUGCUUCCGCCCUCGUCUGAGCCUCCACCGCUCUCACCUGGGCGCCCUAUUUCCACCUUGUGCCUUCUGUCGAUUCCUCACUCACCAGCCCGAGGAAUCCUUGCACAGAAGUCAGAUCACAUUCCUUCCCUGUUGUCAAGGGAAGAAGACAAAUGGGCAUGAGAAGGAGAGGAUCAGGGGCUUGGAAGCCAAGAUUUUGCCAAUUUGACUUAUGCAACUUGGGCAAAAAAAAAAAUUGAGCCUCAGUCUUUUCAUCUGUGAAAUAGGGAUAACAAACUCUGAUACGAGGGGUCAGUAGUGACAAGGAUGUGAAAGCAGCCACGAUGGCAUGGCAGGGCCUAUCUGGAGUUUGGCCUUUGCAGGGGGGUAGAUGACACCCUUGUGUGUUCUAGGUCCUUUGAGAUACAUUAUCUCACUGAAGCCUCAGCAACUCCGCGGUGUUCCCAGAGGUGAGGAAACACACUGAGAGACAGAACACGACUUGACCAGGGCCACCCUGUGGGGCACGCUGGCACCUGCACAGCCCAGCUUCACCUGGUUCCAGCCCUGCCCGCGCUCUGCUCCCCACUUCCCGUAACCCUGGGCUGGCGUCAGCAGGCAGGCCUGCCAGGAGGCUGGAGCUGCCAACGACCUAUUUUUCUGGGCAAGAAGAGCCAUUUGGAGUUAGAGGUCUCAGCUGUGAAGCCAGAACAAUAAAAAUAAAAACAGCACGGACUCCUGGGCAGCCUGGACCAGGGAACCAACUGCCCCAAGAGUUGCUGCUCACCAGGCUGGAAGGCAAGUGGGGUUGGGGGGAUGGGAGAUGGGAGUGACCUUACCGAGCCCCUGCUAUGUCCUCCGGCCCUUACAGAGUAAGGGUAAUCUCCAAGGUUCACAACAGGCCCUUUGUCUGGGUGGCCAGACCAGUCAGGAUUUGAACUCAGUUUUCCAAACAGUAACAAUUCCCAUCUGUUCAGCAGCUACUAUGCUUUACAGACUUGUGACAUUCAUACCACACCUGGGGGGGUGAGCUAAUCAUUCCCUCAUUCUACAGAUGAGGCAGCUGAGACUUCAGGAGGCCUCUGCUCACACGCCACCUCCUUGAGAGGCCUUGCCAGACCACCCUGUUAAAGUAGUCACCCUCACGCCUGCCCAAUAUGCCCUACCCUCUUCCCUAUUUUAUCUUCAUAGCAUGCAUCACGACCUGCUAAUAUUGUGUGUCUCCACUGCAUUUUGUCUGUCUCCCUAACUAGCUCCAGGUCAGUUUAUCCUAGUGGCUUGCACUCCAGCGGUCUCUCAGACUAGCCCCGUGGGGCAAGUUAUUUUGAUGAUCUGUGCUUCCUUCGGGGUAAUGAUAGGACCUUACCUGAAAGGUUUCUUGUGAGGGUUAAAUGAGUUAAUAUCGGUUAAGUGUUGGCCGCUGCCAUUGUUUUGUCCCAGAGCUGUAGCUCCAGGGUCUUUAACAGUAAACAAUAGGUUGUCAAUAAAUAUGUAUUAAAUUUAAAAACUGGGCUGGGCAUGGUGGCUUACACCUGUAAUCCCAGCACUUUGGGAGGCAGAGGUGGGAGGAUUGCUUGAGCCCAGGAGUUCCAGGCUGCAGUGACCUAUGAUUGCUCCACUGCACUCCAGCCUGGGCAACAGAGUGAGAACCUAUCUCUAAAAUAAUAGUAAGUAAAAAUAAUAAAUAAAUGAAGCUCUCUGCCCACGAUCCAAUCUCAGGGUAAGGAAUUGGCACAGCCUGGAUUUGAAGGUGGGUCUCUAUGAACCUGUGCUUCAAUCCAUCCCACUUCAUAAUCGCCUCUCCACAGGCCUCCAUCCAACCACAGCUGCACAGGCAUCAGAGCUUUGGUUCUACAACGUGAGCUGAUACCAAUAGCCCCUGGAGGGAUUGUUAAAACACUGAUUCCAGGGCCCUAGCCAUGGAGUGUCUGAUUCAGUAGGCCUUAGGUAAGGUCUGAAAAUCUGCAUUUCUAACAAGGUCCCAGGUGAUACUGACGCUACUGAUUCAGGGAUCACACUUUGAGAACCGCUGAAUAGACUGCCAUUCAAGCCAAGGUGAGACUCCUUUGUAAGCCUGGCCCCAGUUUCCGUGUUGGUUAGUCUGUCCAUCCCUGUGGUUUCUGUCCUCCCCUUAGGGCGAAGGCAGAGGGCAGGACAGCGCUUGCUGUAGAGACUGUAGCCAGUGCUCUGAUGCCUAGGGGCUGUGACAGAUCACUGAACCCAGGGGAGCUUUGCUGUAAUUAGUGCUUUCCUGGGGAAGUCAGUGAUUGAGCAACUCGGCAGGCAGGCAGGCAGCUCAUAGGAGCCCAUAAGGGGUGGGACCACACUGUCGGGCCCUAAACACUGUUCUCAGGCUCUGGGGAUCUAGCUCCACCCAGAGCUGAGCCCUCCCCAACACCUCUGGGUGGGUGUACUGGUGGUGUUGCAGGGGCAGAGAGCUGAUUGCCUCAGCCAUCACGGAGAGACCUGGGUUUGAGUGCUGACUGCCUAAUAGUACUAAUCACAGGUAAACAUAGGAGUGUGUGUUAAGCCCCAGGCCUGAAGGGUUUCAGCACAUUAUCUCAUGAUGCCUCCCUGUGAUUAUCUUACGUGGACACAAUUCUUAUCCCCAUUUCACAGAUGAGAAAACUGAGGCACAGAGAACUUAAGGAGCUUGUCCAAGAGCCCACACCUUGAGAGCUCCAGAGCCAGGCUUUGAAUCCAGGAGCUCUCAUUCCCUAUCCCCUGCUCCCGACCUCUGCACAUUCUGACUUCUACUUGCUUAGGAUGAGCUUGGGAUGCCCCACAGUGCCCUCUCUGGGUUUCCAUCACUACUGAGGUGUUGGCUUGAUGAUUUCCAGGUCCUGAUGGUUUCCACGUCCUUCUCAGGUGCCCAGCACCAGACCUGCUAAAAGGUCUUAGACACACAAGGAUCUGGUGGAUGAAAUAAGGAAUGAACAGAUGACCCUAACUCCAGUUCUGAUGGGACAGUGUAGCUCAGUGGCUAAGAGAUAUGCAUGCAAUUCCAGGCGCUGCCCCUCACUAUGUGUGUGAUCUCGAGUGGGUCUCAGCCUCAGUUUUCUCAUCUGAAAAUAGGUGAGGGCAGGAUUAAUGCAUAAAGAGGAGAGCGAGAGACAGAGACGAGAGAGAGAGACAGAGAAAAUAUGCACCAACGCAUGGCAGCUGAGAAUGAUGUUUGUUGCCUGCUCCAUCUCAGUCUGUUCGUGCAGUUCCUCAGGCAAAAUACCUUGGUGCCCUCCUUGACUUAUCUCUUUCUCUUCCUUCCCUGCCAGCCAAUCCUCUUGGCUCUACCUUCAAAAUAAACCCAGAAUCCAACCACUCCUUCCCACCUGCAUCACACUCCGGUCCCAGUACCUUCAUUUCUCACCUGGAUUAGUGCAGUCACUUCCUCACUGGCUCCGUACUUCCUGGACUCCCCACCUUGUUGCUUCUUCAAUAAAAGCCUCCCAAUGGCCUUCCACUCCUUCUCUUGGAGUAAAACCUGAAGUUCUCAGUGCAGCUCAAAAGGCCCCCUGUGAUCCCCUGCUUCACUGACCCGGUCUCCCCACACUCUCCCCCUUGCUCACUCCACUCCAGUUAAUUCACCAUCUCAGUAUUCCUUGAACAUGCCCAGCAGGUGCCUACCUCAGGGCCUUUGCACGGGCUGUUCCCUGUGCCAAGAACCCUCUUCCCCAGCUAGCUGCCUAGUUUGCCCCUGACUCUUCCUUAGGGUCUAUGCUCAAAUAUCACCUCUGCAGAGAAGCAUGUCCUGACCACUCAGCUAAAACUGUCCCAUCACUUCCUAUUCCCUACUCCACUUUAUUUUUUGAUAGCAUUUCCAUUUCUUGACAGCAUAUCAAUGUUAUACAUUUGAUUGGUUGCGUGGCUCUCCUACUGAUCUUUGAGCUCCAUGUGAGCUCUUUGCCUUUGUUCCCUAGCACCUGGAGCUGAGCCCACACAGAGUAGGGCCUCAGGCAGAAACUACUGAUAGAGUGAAAGAAGGAGCAGGAAGCAGGAAACAGGAAGCAGGAUGCAGCUCUGUCCAUGAGGGCACUGGCAGCUGGAUCCAGGGGCUCAGGCUCCGCCACCCGAGGGCCUGGCUUGGCUUGGGUUUCCUGAAGGAACAGGUGUCCUCGUUGGACUCCCCCGGCUGCUUUCCUGGGCAGGGAAGCCAAGACUCUAGUUGGCCUCAUUCCUGUACCCGAGAAAGGAAGUGUCCAUCCCUGGGCAGGAACUGGUUUGGCUCUCAGGGAAAGCCUAAACAACACAUACCACUGUCUUUGCUGCUGCAGCUUCCGAUUGGGACCAUGCCCUCUGGGUAGCAGUUGGCCACACCAGCCUUCAUGCUGCCACUGCUGCUGGAGCAAGGAGGGAAGUGGAUUGGGAAGUCUCCCAGAGCCCUUUGGACUGUAUCUGAUGGGAGCCUCAUAGCCGUGCCAUACCUAUUGUACAGAUGAGUAAACAGAGGCUCUACCUGACCAACAUAUUGACUUAGUGGCACAGAAAGGCCAUAAACCCAGAUCUUUUGAUAGCAAAUCCCUUAGUCCCCCUCCUUACUCCCAACUCACACCCUGCUGCCCCAACGCCUACAACCCUGGCUGGUUCAUACUUGAAAUUCCACCAUUAUAGUUUUCUUUCUCACUGUGUCUCAUUCCCUCUUCAGCAAAAAAGGUGGUAACUAUCCCCAUGAAUCUCUGGGAAUAGAUGAGGAGACUGAGGCGCAGAAAGGGAAAUGGGUGGCCUGAGCUCUCACGGCCUGUAGGCAUGACAGGCCAAGUUAGAAAAUGUUAGUCUGUUUUUCCUCUUUAUGUUUCUUCUCUUCAGCUUCAAGCAAAUAGUUGGGCUUAGUAAACAGGCACUGCAGGGAUUUAGGCAGAAAAAUGAACUCCCCUUAGUCUUUAGUAAAGUCUAAAACCAAAGAGAUUCCCAGGAAAGACUGGGAGAGAUUGGGGGCAAGCACACUGGAGAAGCUGGAGGGGGUCAGGCUGACAGGGGGUGCUGCCCCCACGCCAGCAGGAUUGGGGAGGGGACAAGGCCUCCAGGGCAGGCCUCACGGUGGCUCCAGGUAGCCAUAACUGUGUCUCAAGACCUCUGCCCUCAUGGAAGACCCCACAGCCCCACAGGGUGACUGAGAUGGGUGUCCCUUAGGGUGGGACAAUGGGCACGGCCUCCAUCAGCCAACAGAUAUUUAUUGAGCAUCUACUAUGGCCAGGGGCUCAGCUGGAUGCUGGAAAUGAGAUAGUCACAGUUCCUGCACUCAAGGCAUUCACAUUCUAGUGGAGGAGAUGGAAAGAUAAAUGUAUGAAUUAGGGGGGAGGGGAUGCUAUUCUAUGCAGUGGAGGUCUCACUCAGGGAGUGGAGUUUCCUAAGGAAAGUAUGAAGGAGAGCCAUAGGAACACCAGGUGAAAGGAAUGGCCAGUGCAAAGACCCCGGGAAGACCCUGGGAUGACAAGUUCAAGGGCAGCUGGGCAGCCAGGCAACGGGAAACUAGCCAGGAGUGAGGCGGGAGAUGAGGUUAGAGAGGAAGCAGGGUCCAGUCUGUUGGGCCGUGCAGGCCAAGGUGAGGCCUUCAGCUUUUACUCAGAACCAGAUGGGAGCCACUGCGGGAUUAGGAGCCGAGGAGCUGCAGGCAAGCAGUGUGGACAGAUUCCUGGAAGCCACCUCAAAUGUCCAGAGACUCUCUAAGACCCUGCAUCUGAGCAGGCUCUGGAGAGGAGAGAGCCCCAAGAAUGACCAAGGUUGGGCUUGCUUCACGUCACCCCCAUGGGAUACAUUCACAGACCAGAUGAGUUUAAGUAAUUUGAGGCUUCUCAAACUUUAUUCUUGCUAAAUGCAGAUUCUGACUUAGUAGGUUUGUAGCGGGGCCAAGAUUCUGCAUUUCUGAUAAACUUCCAGGUGAGGUUGAAGCUGCUGGUCCCUGGACUGCACUCUGAGCAGUGAAGAUUUAAAGGAAAGAAAUGGCCACAUCUGGCCCAACUGUGCCUGUGGUUUGAGAAUCAUACCUGCUGCUUGGCUUCAAGGCCGUCAUUCAGGGCUCUUGACAAAUCGUGCAGCCCCUCCACUCAGCCUGUUGCCCCCAAAAACCAAAUGGGUCUUUCCCCAGCUCCAUGCUUCCUGUAUGACAUAGGAGUGGUCAGGGUGGGCAGUGGGCUCCGGAGCCAGCUUACUUGGGUCCAGAUUCCAGCCGUGGCAGCUACAGGUGGCAAGACUGUGGGGAAAUGAUUUUAUUUGUCUUGCCAUUUAGUUUCUCAUCUGCAAAAUGGAAAACUCAUGACAGCUUCUUUACAGAGCUAUUUGAAGAUUCAAAGGCAUAAUAUAUAUCAAAAGUCUGGCACACAGGAGGGACUUCAUAAAUGUUAUAUCACUUUCCCUUCAGUUUCACCUGUCCUUUAAAGUAGUGAUCUAUGUACCUUUAUCUCAUUUUUCAAAUUUUUCUAUUUUGUGUAUGUGUUCUAUGAAGUACAUAACAAAGAAAUAUACAAAAAUUUGUAAAAAGUAUCAAAUGUACAUACAUUGAGGAAUACAUGUUUUAAAUGUUUUUACUGAUAGGGAAUAUGAUACAAAAAAUUUUGAAGACCACUGUUUUGAAGCCCAGUGGAAUUGAUAGAAAUAGACUCUCAGGGCUGGAAUAGAUUUUAAAGGCCUUCAAUUCCCCUGGCACCCACUCUCCCAUCUGAUGCCCAAAACCCUUGGUUGCACUAGAUUGCCUCCAGGGGUGGGGAGCUCACUACCUUUCCAGGCAAUCCAUUUUGUACAGCUCUGGGAAUGGUUUCCUGAACCCAGUGCCUAUCUGUAUUCUAGCUGCCUCUGAGUUCCCGGGGGCUGACUGAACUGCUCCUCCCCUUACUCCACUGUGUCAGAGCCCUGGGAUCUCCCAGGGGCCCAGUGCCAGGUUGUGUGCAGAGUGGGCCUAAAUAAUGUCCCAUGAAUGAGAGGGAGUGGGAGAUGGGGAUGAGAAGGGGGAUUCUGACAACUCUCAUUUGGAGGUAUGUUAACAGCUGAGUGCUGUUGUCCCCCUGGGAGUGUGUUGAUCUGUGUAACUCUGGAUCCGUAUCUAUUCGUUUGGAUUUAUUUGCAUGGGUUUGUACAUUUGAGUGUGUAUGCAUGCAUUGUGUGUUUUGCUGUGUGGCUAUAUAUGAGUGUGUGUGUAUGUCUAUGUUGCACCGCAAAUAUCCACGUGUGCUGUGCAUGUCUUUCUCUGUUUUUCUGCAUGCCUGCGUGUCCAGGUGUAUGUCACUGUGGGGUUGUGUGUCUGUCUCUGGUUUGUUUGCAUGUGUGUGAGUGCUGUACGCAUGUGGGCGUGUGCUGUUUGCACUGUCUGUGUGUGCGUGCACAUCUCUGUUUCUUUGUGUGUCUGUGUGCCUGGGGCCCUCCUUUGUGUGUCUCUGUGUGUGUGUCUGAAUCUGCAGGAGUGCGUUUCCCUUCCCUGCUCAGCCCUUUCAGGGAGCUGAGGUGAUUCGCUGCAGCCUGGUCGACUUAAGGCCGUCCGACUGGCAGGCAGCAUGGCUUCCACACCCUCCUCUCUGUUCUGCUGUGCUAAUCACUGGGUUAUAUGUAGAUGGCAAAUGUGUGGCUGCCAGGCUUGGAGGAGGGACUGUGGAGGGGGGUGUGCAGAUGAGCAGACACCAAAGAGUGAAAAGACAAUUUAAAGGCAGAAAGGGGGAAAACAAGCCUGCUUGGCUUUGGAGUUACGGGUGUGGGGUUCUUCCCAGAGGCGUGAAUUUUAUUAAGGGGAUGUGAUGACUACGAUGUCUUCCUUCCCCUAAUCAAGUAAGAGUCUUAGAAUCACAGGAUUCUAAAAUCUUGGAAUUGUCGAACUAUAGAAUUCUAGAAUCUCAGCCGAAUGCAACUCUAGACGCGUAGAACCUCUUCAAGGACCCUAAUCCUCCUGGGAUUUUAGCAUCUUCACAUGCACAUGCAGUUCUUCUUGUCCCCCUUCUCUUUGUAUAGAAUCAUGGCCAGAAAAUGACCUUGAAAGUUCAUCCAGUCCACCCCACCCUGGCUCCGGGCAGGGCAGUGGAGACAGAGGUCCAGCCAGUGAGGACAUUCUUGGAAGUGUUGCACUGGAAUCUUCCCUGGCUCUCUUGCUGGACAAGGACUUGUUGCCUGAAGGGUCUGGGGUCUCAUAUUACUCUCCCCACCGCCACCUGCCACAGGGACUGAGUUCCUGGCGAAGACAAAGGCACCUAUGUUCCUAGGAUAUGUUCUUAGCAGUUCAGGAGCUGACACAGGCUGCAGGUGUGGGGAGAGUAAAGGGGCAGGGCUCUGUUUCUCUGAGAUCCUCCCUCGGUGGAGUCUCAGUAACCUAGCCUGGGGUGGGGGUGGGUAGCUAACCAGGCAACCACACUCAUGCCCCAGGAUAUUCAGUGGGGUGUCUUCUUCCUCUUAUUGCUUCCUCUUACUGCUUAAAAGAGUAGACUAUAUCCGGUCGGGCACGGUGGCUCACGCCUGUAAUCCCAGCACUUUGGGAGGCCCAAGUGGGUGGAUCACCUGAGGUCAGGAGUUCAAGACCAGCCUGGCCAACAUGGUGAAACCCUGUCUCUACUAAAAAUACAAAAAUUAGCUGGGCUUGGUGGCGCAUACCUGUAAUCCUAUAAUCCCAGCUAAUCAGGAGGCUGAGGCAGGAGAAUCGCUUGAACCCGGGAGGCAGAGGUUGCAGUG